GACGAACGCUGGCGGCGUGCCUAAUACAUGCAAGUAGAACGCUGAAGAGAGGAGCUUGCUCUUCUUGGAUGAGUUGCGAACGGGUGAGUAACGCGUAGGUAACCUGCCUUGUAGCGGGGGAUAACUAUUGGAAACGAUAGCUAAUACCGCAUAACAAUGGAUGACACAUGUCAUUUAUUUGAAAGGGGCAAUUGCUCCACUACAAGAUGGACCUGCGUUGUAUUAGCUAGUAGGUGAGGUAAUGGCUCACCUAGGCGACGAUACAUAGCCGACCUGAGUGGGUGAUCGGCCACACUGGGACUGGGACACGGCCCCGACUCCUACGGGAGGCAGCAGUAGGGGAUCUUUGGCAAUGGGGGCAACCCUGACCGAGCAACGCCGCGUGAGGGAAGAAGGUUUUCGGAUCGUAAAGCUCUGUUGUAAGUCAAGAACGGGUGUGAGAGUGGAAAGUUCACACUGUGACGGUAGCUUACCAGAAAGGGACGGCUAACUACGUG
rnacentral:rRNA from 1 species